rnacentral:rRNA from 1 species
UGGCGGCACUAGCGCGGUGGUCCCACCUGACCCCAUGCCGAACUCAGAAGUGAAACGCCGUAGCGCCGAUGGUAGUGUGGGGGCUCCCCAUGUGAGAGUAGGGAACUGCCAGGCA